CAGCAGCAGCCGCGGUAAUACGAAGGGGGCUAGCGUUGCUCGGAAUUACUGGGCGUAAAGGGAGCGUAGGCGGACAUUUAAGUCAGGGGUGAAAUCCCAGAGCUCAACUCUGGAACUGCCUUUGAUACUGGGUGUCUUGAGUGUGAUAGAGGUAUGUGGAACUCCGAGUGUAGAGGUGAAAUUCGUAGAUAUUCGGAAGAACACCAGUGGCGAAGGCGGCUCACUGGCUCAUACUGGACGCUGAGGUGCGAAAGCGUGGGGAGCAAACAGGAUUAGAUACCCCCGUAGUCCCUGUCUCUUAUAC
rnacentral:rRNA from 1 species